UACGUAGGGGGCAAGCGUUGUCCGGAUUUAUUGGGCGUAAAGAGCGUGUAGGCGGCCAUACAGGUCCGUUGUGAAAACUGGAGGCUUAACCUCCAGACGUCGAUGGAAACCGUAUGGCUAGAGUCCGGAAGAGGAGAGUGGAAUUCCCGGUGUAGCGGUGAAAUGCGCAGAUAUCGGGAGGAACACCUAUGGCGAAGGCAGCUCGCUGGGACGUUACUGACGCUGAGACGCGAAAGCGUGGGGAGCAAACAGG
rnacentral:rRNA from 1 species